AAAUCCCCAUUUAACCAAAAUUCACGCGUUUUCUCUUCGCAAAUCCCCCAUUUAAGCGAAAAUCACGCGUUUUCUCUUCGAGAAUCCCCCAUUUAACCGAAAAUCACGCGUUUUCUCUUCGAGAAUCCCCCAUUUAAGCGAAAAUCACGCGUUUUCUCUUUCGAAAUCCCCCAUGUAACCGAAAAUGACGUGUUUUCUCUUCAAGAAUCCCCCAUUUAACCCAAAAAUCACGCGUUUUCUCUUCGGAAAUCCCCCAUUUAACAAAAAUCACGCGUUUUCUCUUCGCAAAUCCCCCAUUUAAGCGAAAAUCACGCCGUUUCUCUUCGAGAAUCCCCCAUUUAACCGAAAAUCACGCGUUUUCUCUUCAAAAUCCCCCAUUUAAGCGAAAAUCACGCGUUUUCUCUUCGCAAAUCCCCCAUUUAAGCAAAAUCACGCGUUUUCUCAUCGAGAAUCCCCCAUUUAAGUGAAAAUAACAUGUUUCCUCAAUGCAAAUUUCCCAUUUAAGUGAAAAUCACGCAUUUUCUCUUUGAAAUCCCCCAUUUAAGUGAAAAUCACGUGUUUUCUCUUCGAGAAUCCCCCAUUUAACCAGAAAAUCACGCGUUUUCGCAAAUCCCCCAUUUAAGCGAAAAUCACGCGUUUUCUCUUCGAAAAUCCCCCAUUUAAGCGAAAAUCACGCAUUUUCAUCUUCGCAAAUCCCCCAUUUACCGAAAAUGAC
ensembl:lncRNA